CAUUCACGGGACGGGGUCAGGUACCAGAACAUACCGGGACGGGGUCAGGUACCAGAACAUACACGGGACGGGGUCAGGUACCAGAACAUAUACGGGACGGGGUCAGGUACCAGAACAUAUACGGGACGGGGUCAGGUACCAGAACAUACACGGGACGGGGUCAGGUACCAGAACAUACACGGGACGGGG